GAUAAAACGGGUGAAAAACCCGUUCGCCGGAAGACCAAGGGUUCCUGUCCAACGUUAAUCGGGGCAGGGUGAGUCGGCCCCUAAGGCGAGGCUGAAAAGCGUAGUCGAUGGGAAACGGGUUAAUAUUCCCGUACUUGGUAAAGCUGCGAUGUGGGGACGGAGAAGGUUAGGUUAGCAGACUGUUGGAUGUCUGUUUAAGUUGGUAGGUGGGGAGUUUAGGCAAAUCCGGACUUCCAUAACACUGAGAGAUGAUGACGAGUUUCUACGGAAAUGAAGUAACUGAUACCACGCUUCCAGGAAAAGCCACUAAGCGAAAGGCUUUACUAAACCGUACUGAAAACCGACACAGGUGGUCAGGUAGAGAAUACUCAGGCGCUUGAGAGAACUCGGGUGAAGGAACU
rnacentral:rRNA from 1 species